CCUACGGGAGGCAGCAGUAGGGAAUCUUCCACAAUGGGGGAAAGUCUGAUGCAGCAACGCCGCGUGGGGGAUGAAGGUUUUCGGAUCGUAAACUCCUUUUGUUAGAGAAGAUAAUGACGGUAUCUAACGAAUAAGCAUCGGCUAACUCCGAGUCAGCAGCCGCGGUAAUACGGAGGGGGCAAGCGUUACUCGGAAUCACUGGGCGUAAAGAGCGCGUAGGCGGGAUAGCAAGUCAGAUGUGAAAUCCUAUGGCUUAACCAUAGAACUGCAUUUGAAACUGUUAUUCUAGAGUAUGGGAGAGGUGAGUGGAAUUCUUGGUGUAGGGGUAAAAUCCGUAGAGAUCAAGAGGAAUACUCAUGGCGAAGGCGACCUGCUAGAACAUAACUGACGCUGAUGCGCGAAAGCGUGGGGAGCAAACAGGAUUAGAUACCCGGGUAGUC
rnacentral:rRNA from 1 species